UACGUAGGGGGCAAGCGUUGUCCGGCUUUAUUGGGCGUAAAGAGCGUGUAGGCGGCCAGACAGGUCCGUUGUGAAAACUCGAGGCUCAACCUCGAGACGCCGAUGGAAACCGUUUGGCUAGAGUCCGGAAGAGGAGAAUGGAAUUCCCGGUGUAGCGGUGAAAUGCGCAGAUAUCGGGAAGAACACCCGUGGCGAAGGCGGUUCUCUGGGACGGUACUGACGCUGAGACGCGAAAGCGUGGGGAGCGAACAGG
rnacentral:rRNA from 1 species